CGCGUGCACUGGUUCGGCCGGGCCUUUCCCUCUGGGGAGCCGCAUGCCCUUCACUGGGUGUGUCGGGGAACCAGGACUUUUACUUUGAACAAAUUAGAUCGCUUAAAGAAGGCCUAUGCUCGAAUACAUUAGCAUGGAAUAAUAGAAUAGGACGCGUGGUUCUAUUUUGUUGGUUUCUAGGACCGCCGUAAUGAUUAAUAGGGACAGUCGGGGGCAUCAGUAUUCAAUUGUCAGAGGUGAAAUUCUUGGAUUUAUUGAAGACUAACUACUGCGAAAGCAUUUGCCAAGGAUGUUUUCAUUAAUCAGGAACGAAAGUUAGGGGAUCGAAGACGAUCAGAUACCGUCGUAGUCUUAACCAUAAACUAUGCCGACUAGGGAUCGGACGAUGUUAUAUUUUGACUCGUUCGGCACCUUACACGAAAGUAAAGUUUCUGGGUUCUGGGGGGAGUAUGGUCGCAAGGCUGAAACUUAAAGAAAUUGACGGAAGGGCACCACCAGGGGUGGAGCCUGCGGCUUAAUUUGACUCAACACGGGGAAACUCACCAGGGCCAGACACAAGUAGGAUUGACAGAUUGAGAGCUCUUUCUUGAUUUUGUGGGUGGUGGUGCAUGGCCGUUCUUAGUUGGUGGAGUGAUUUGUCUGCUUAAUUGCGAUAACGAACGAGACCUUAACCUGCUAAAUAGCCCGCAUUGCUUUGGCAGUGCGCCGGCUUCUUAGAGGGACUAUCGG
rnacentral:rRNA from 1 species